rnacentral:piRNA from 1 species
UGUUCAAUGUAAUGACCCAGGACAUGC